UUUUUCUUUUCUUUUUUUUUGAGACGGAGUCUUGCUCUGUUGCCCAGGCUGGAGUGCACUGGUGUGAUCUCAGCUCACUGCAACCUCUGCCUCCUGGGUUCCAGCGAUUCUCCUGCCUCAGCCCCCCGAGUAACUAGGAUUACAGGUACCCACCAACAUGCCCAGCUAAUUUUUGUAAUUUUUAAUAGAGAUGGGGUUUCACCAUGUUUGCCGGGCUGGUUUAAAACUCCUGACCUCAGGUGAUCCACCCGCCUCAGCCUCCCAAAGUGCUGGGAUUACAGGUGUGCACCACCACACCCGGCUAAUUUUUGUAUUUUCAGUAGACACGGGGUUUUACCAUGUUGGCCAGGCUGGUCUUGAACUCUAGACCUCAAGUGAUCCACCCGCCUCGGCCUCCCAAAGUGCUGGGAUUAUAGGAGUGAGCCACCGUGCCUGGCCUCAAUGUUAUUCUCUUCUCUCCAUGUGUCUUUCAGGACUUACAGAGCAGGAGCUCCCUAAGACAAUGUCCUGGGCCCCACCUGGCGGUAUAUCAUAUCAUAGCCGGCUCACACCAACCUGGGAGAGUGGAUUGUCAGCAUCUCUUCCCAACUCCACUUUCAGAGACAUCGUUUGGGUAGCUUGAAUUCAGCCAUGGUGGGAGGGUUUACACCAUGGCAAUUGGCAAACGCUGCCAAUCACACUUGUCCCCACAGAGCCAGUUUGUUAAAUAUUUGCCAGUGUAACCCUGGCUUCACCUUACCUUGGUCAACCAGACCUGCCCAGGUGUUGGCUAAUAAUCCUUGGUGUUGGUAUCAGCCUCUCCCAUGUGGCAUUCCUGUGUCCCCCUCCCCACCAGGUCAGCCUGGCCUUGGGGGACUGAGCCAGCCAGAAGGUGGCAAUUGAGGUCAGACCAGCAUCCCUGAAUUGGGAAGGAUAAGAGGAUAUGGAUGGAGGAUGGAUAGCUUCUGUGACAGACAUCACAUGUGCACACACACACACACACACACACACACACACACCUGGUUUACUUUAUGUUUUCAUUAUUUUUAAAAAAUUGAGACAGGGUCUCACUCUAUUGCUCAGGCUGGAGCAUAGUGGUGCAAACAUGGCUCACUGCAGCCUCAAUCUCCUGGGCUCAAACAAUCUUCCCGCCUCAGCCUCCCAAGUAGCUGGGACCACAGGCACGUGCCACCAUGCCCUGCCAAUUUUUUUUUCUUGCUCUGUUGCCCAGGCUGGAGUGCAAUGGCGAGAUCUCGACUCACUGCAACCUCCACCUCCCAGGUUCAAGCGAUUCCCCUGCCUCAGCCUCCCAAGAAGCUAGGAUUAUAGGUGUGUGCCACCAUGCCCGGCUAAUUUUUUUUCGUAUUUUUAGUAGAGAUGGGGUUUCGCCAUGUUGGCCAGGCUGGUCUUGAACUCCUGACCUCAGGUGAUCCACCUGCUUCGGCCUCCCAAAGUCCUGGGGUUACAGGCAUGAGCCACUGUGCCCGGCCCCAGCCAAAUUUUUAAUUUUUGGUAGAGAUGGCAUUUCACUAUGUUGCCCAGGCUGGUCUCAAACUCCUGAGCUCAAGCGAUUUCCCACCUCAGCCUCCCAAAGUGCUGGGAUUAUAGCUGCGAGCCACCAGAACUGGCCUGGUUUCCUUUAAUACUGGUGGGUUUAUUUUAACGGGUAUAGGGGAAAACAUAGCUAAUGCACUAAAUCUGUGACUUUUUUUUUUUUUGAGAUGACAUCUCCCUCUGUUGCCCAGGCUGGAGUGCAAUGGCACAGUCU
rnacentral:lncRNA from 1 species